UGGGGAAUUUUGCGCAAUGGGGGAAACCCUGACGCAGCAACGCCGCGUGAGUGAUGAAGGCUUUCGGGUCGUAAAGCUCUGUCAGAGGGGAAGAAAUGCAUGGAUGCUAAUAUCAUCUUUGCUUGACGGUACCCUCAAAGGAAGCACCGGCUAACUCCGUGCCAGCAGCCGCGGUAAUACGGAGGGUGCGAGCGUUGUUCGGAAUUAUUGGGCGUAAAGCGCGUGUAGGCGGUCUUUUAAGUCUGAUGUGAAAGCCCCGGGCUCAACCCGGGAAGUGCAUUGGAAACUGGGAGACUUGAAUACGGGAGAGGGUAGUGGAAUUCCUAGUGUAGGAGUGAAAUCCGUAGAUAUUAGGAGGAACACCGGUGGCGAAGGCGGCUACCUGGACCGAUAUUGACGCUGAGACGCGAAAGCGUGGGGAGCAAACA
rnacentral:rRNA from 1 species